rnacentral:rRNA from 1 species
UACGUAGGGUGCAAGCGUUGUCCGGAUUUAUUGGGCGUAAAGAGCUCGUAGGCGGUUUGUCGCGUCGGAUGUGAAAACCCAGGGCUCAACCCUGGGCCUGCAUUCGAUACGGGCAGACUAGAGUAUGGCAGGGGAGACUGGAAUUCCUGGUGUAGCGGUGAAAUGCGCAGAUAUCAGGAGGAACACCGGUGGCGAAGGCGGGUCACUGGUCCGGUACUGACGCUGAGGUGCGAAAGCGUGGGGAGCAAACAGG